GAAAACUUAAAGUCGACGAAUAGGCGAUAAUUUCUAUCCGAGCGACUCGAGGUAAGUUCGUAUGUGGUAAUUUCAUUAUAAAUGCAUGAGAAACGCUUUGAUAUUGCAUAAACUAUGAUUAAGAGAUUACAAAUAUUGUUUGAAUUGUGAAUACGACUCUAUGAAUGUAUUUGACGAUGAAAUCGACAAGUGUAACUUCCAGGUUGAGCCUUAGAAAUAGUUUAGGAUAAUAGUGACAUGCCAUUAAGUUAUGUGUUGGCUUCGGUCCAUGAUAUCAGCACUACCGGUGCGAGUAAUGCCUUCAUUUUGGCUAUGGGCCAUGGUAUAGGUAC
rnacentral:lncRNA from 1 species